CCCUUAAAGGGGUCAUAUGAUGCUACAUGCACUUUUACAAGUUGUUUGAACUGAAAUGUGUGUUGGCGGUGUGUACACAACCACACUCAAAUGAUCAAAAUCCACCCAGUGUUUUUUUUUUUUUAGAAAUCUAGUUAAA